rnacentral:rRNA from 1 species
CGGAACACGUACACAACCUUCCUUUAAGCGGGGGAUAGCCCAGAGAAAUUUGGAUUAAUACCCCAUAGGAUAUUAUUGAGGCAUCUUAAUGAUAUUAAAGAUUUAUUACUUAGAGAUGGGUGUGCGUCUGAUUAGGUAGUUGGUGUAGGUAAAGGCUCACCAAGCCAACGAUCAGUAACUGGUGUGAGAGCACGACCAGUCACACGGGCACUGAGACACGGGCCCG